GAUGAACGCUGGCGGCGUGCCUAAUACAUGCAAGUCGAGCGAACAGACGAGGAGCUUACUCCUCUGACGUUAGCGGCGGACGGGUGAGUAACACGUGGAUAACCUACCUAUAAGACUGGUAUAACUUCGGGAAACCGGAGCUAAUACCGGAUAACAUGUUGAACCGCAUGGUUCAAUAGUGAAAGACGGUCUUGCUGUCACUUAUAGAUGGAUCCGCGUCGCAUUAGCUAGUUGGUAAGGUAACGGUUUACCAAGGCAACGAUGCGUAGCCGACCUGAGAGGGUGAUCGCCCACACUGGAACUGGAACAGGGUCCAGACUCCUACGGGAGGCAGCAGAAGGGAAUCUUCCGCAAGGGGCGAAAGCCUGACGGAGCAACGCCGCGGGAGUGAAGAAGGUCUUCGGAUCGUAAACCUCGGUUAUUAGGGAAGAACAAAUGUGUAAGUAACUAUGCACGUCUUGACGGUACCUAAUCAGAAAGCCACGGCUAACUACGUG
rnacentral:rRNA from 1 species